CUCGCGAGCGUCAUCACCUCCCACGCGACGACGAAUCCGAUCGCGUCGCGAGCAAGUAGGACCACGAGCAUCGCGGCAAGCAGAACGUUGUAGAAGAACGCCGGAGGCGCCAGCAGACGGCUCGUGCGUUGGUCGUCGAGGUAGACGGCACCGUAAAUCGCGCCGAGCGGACCGAGCACCAUCAGCG
rnacentral:misc_RNA from 1 species